CCUACGGGUGGCAGCAGUGAGGAAUAUUGGUCAAUGGCCGGAAGGCUGAACCAGCCAAGUCGCGUGAGGGAGGACGGCGCUACGGGUUGUAGACCUCUUUUGCCGGGGAGCAAAGUGCAGGACGCGUCCUGCCCUGAGAGUACCUGGAGAAAAAGCAUCGGCUAACUCCGUGCCAGCAGCCGCGGUAAUACGGAGGAUGCGAGCGUUAUCCGGAUUUAUUGGGUUUAAAGGGUGCGCAGGCGGAGGCACAAGUCAGCGGUAAAAUCGCGGGGCUCAACCCCGCUCCGCCGUUGAAACUGUGUCCCUUGAGUGCGCGAAGGGUAGGCGGAAUGCGUGGUGUAGCGGUGAAAUGCAUAGAUAUCACGCAGAACUCCGAUCGCGAAGGCAGCCUACCGGCGCGCAACUGACGCUCAUGCACGAAAGCGUGGGUAUCGAACAGGAUUAGAUACCCCAGUAGUC
rnacentral:rRNA from 1 species